rnacentral:rRNA from 1 species
UACGUAGGGUGCAAGCGUUAUCCGGAAUUAUUGGGCGUAAAGAGCUCGUAGGCGGUUUGUCACGUCUGCUGUGAAAACUGGAGGCUCAACCUCCAGCCUGCAGUGGGUACGGGCAGACUAGAGUGCGGUAGGGGAGAUUGGAAUUCCUGGUGUAGCGGUGGAAUGCGCAGAUAUCAGGAGGAACACCGAUGGCGAAGGGCAGAUCUCUGGGCCGUAACUGACGCUGAGGAGCGAAAGCAUGGGGAGCGAACAGG